GACGGAGAGGGCGAGUGUUUUGUGUAUUGACUGGGCGUAAAGGGCAUGUAGACGGUUAGAAAAGUUUAAACUUAAAUAUUUAAUUGAAAAGAUUAAAGAUUUUUUAAAUACUUUCUUACUAGAGUUAUAGGGAAAAGUGCAGAACUUUAAGUGUAGAGGUAAAAUUCGACAAUAUUUAAAAUACUAUCAAAGGCGAAGGCAGCAAUUUAUUUAUAACUGACUUUGAGAUGCGAAAGCAUGGGUAUCGAAUGGG
rnacentral:rRNA from 1 species